UUGAAGCGGGCACGCUAGUGUUCGUGGAGUCAUUGUUGAAAUACCACUCUGGUCACUCUGGAUAUCUAACUUCGGACCCUAAUCGGGUUCAGGGACAGUGCCUGAUGGGUAGUUUAACUGGGGCGGUUGCCUCCCAAAGAGUAACGGAGGCGCCCAAAGGUUCCCUCAACCUGGUUGGCAAUCAGGUGGCGAGUGUAAGUGCACAAGGGAGCUUGACUGUGAGACUGACAAGUCGAGCAGGGACGAAAGUCGGGACUAGUGAUCCGGCAGUGGCUUGUGGAAGCGCUGUCGCUCAACGGAUAAAAGGUACCUCGGGGAUAACAGGCUGAUCUUGCCCAAGAGUCCAUAUCGACGGCAUGGUUUGGCACCUCGAUGUCGGCUCGUCGCAUCCUGGGGCUGGAGUAGGUCCCAAGGGUUGGGCUGUUCGCCCAUUAAAGCGGUACGCGAGCUGGGUUUAGAACGUCGUGAGACAGUUCGGUCCCUAUCCGCUGCGCGCGCAGGAAAUUUGAGAAGAUCUAUCCCUAGUACGAGAGGACCGGGAUGGACGAACCUCUGGUGUGUCAGUUGUUCCGCCAGGAGCACCGCUGAUUAGCUACGUUCGGAACGGAUAACCGCUGAAAGCAUCUAAGCGGGAAGCCGGCUUCGAGAUGAGAUUUCCAUCCCUUCGGGGGAGAGGCUCCCAGCCAGACGACUGGGUUGAUAGGCCGGAUGUGGAAGACAGGACUAAAGACUGUCGGAGCUGACCGGUACUAAUAAGCCGAUAACUUGAUAA
rnacentral:rRNA from 1 species